UACAGAGGGUGCAAGCGUUGUUCGGAAUUACUGGGCGUAAAGCGCGUGUAGGCGGCGGCGUUAGUCGGAUGUGAAAUCCCUCAGCUCAACUGAGGAAGUGCAUUCGAUACUGCGUCGCUUGAAUGUCGGAGGGGAUGGCGGAAUUCCCGGUGUAGAGGUGAAAUUCGUAGAUAUCGUGAGGAAGACCAGUGGCGAAGGCGGAUCUCUGGACAGCUCCUGACGCUGAGGCGCGAAGGCUAGGGGAGCAAACGGG
rnacentral:rRNA from 1 species